UACUGGAGGAGUGAGUUUUAACAACUAAACAGGCACUCUCAGUAGUCCCAGAGGCUGAGAAUAGUCAAGGGAGCACUGAGCAGGUCACCUAUCAUAGCCCAGGAGAGCAUGAAGAAUGGGUUCUGGGUAAGCUUGCUGGAGGAGGAGACCUGUAACUUGAAGGAAGAGCAGAAGUUAGCCUGGUGAAGAGAAGGGUGGACCAAACAUGUAAAUGCCCAGGGUGAGUGAAAGCACAGCAUGAGUAUGACCCCUGAAAAUAGUCUGCUAUGCUUAGAACACAGGCUGGGGAAAGGAGAAAGAGUUGAAGCUGGAGAAGAGUGCUGGGGAAAAUUCAUGAGGUCUUAGACCCUGCUGAGGAGUUUGGCCUUUCUUUUGAAUGAUCCAGGUAAGAGAGUGACACAAAUAGGCAGACUGAAAAGCAUUAAGUCUGGAGUUAAGGAGAGCUCUGUUGGGAACGUCCUCACGACAUGGCAGCUGGCUUACCCCAGAGUGAGUGAUUAGAGAGAGCAAAGAUGCAGCCACAGUAUCUUUUAUAACUUAGCCUCAGAAGGGAUGUGCCAUUAUUUCCACCAUGCUCUAUCAGUCACUCAGACCAACUCUGAUAAAAUGUGUUAGAGGACCACACAAGAUCAUGAAUAACAGGAAGCAAGGAUCACUGGGAGACAUCUCAAAGGCUGAUAAUGACAAAGAGCGAAACCAAACUGAGACCAGAGAUUCAAGUUCAACAAACUGAGGCUGGUAGAUUUUCUGGGGGACAGUACCCAAGAGAUGGAAGCUACAUAAAGAGAAAGAGAAAUCUGCAUAGUGAUCCCCUGGAGUUUCUGGCUGAAGGGCAGCCUGCCCAUGCAUAGGAACAAGCCCAACAAUUCUCAGAGCUCACACAGAGUUGGGAACUGUUUGAGUUUCCACUAGCCAGAGUGGAAAGGCCUCAGUAAAUAUACCAGGUAUUUGGAAGACAAGCAGAAAGACCACACCACAGAAGCACUGUUAAGUUUGCCCUAGACAAAAGGCUACUGCAGAACCAUCCUAAAAGAACUUAACAAGAAAACUGGAAAGCAUCAAACUGACCCACAAGGAACUUAAAUGUCUGCUAGAACAAAGUUGUUAAAGGACUACAACGUCCUCCAGCACUCAAAAAUGUGAAAUUCACAAUAUGCACCGACCAAACAAACAAAAAGCCUGCUUGGAUUUUGGCUGGGAUUAAACUGAACUUAUAGAUCAAUCUGGGAAGAACUGACAGUAUGAUGUUUGCUACAGAUUUUUCAUAGAUGCCUUUUAUCAGGCUCCACAUGACUUGAAUGAGACAGCAGAAGAGAGGUUGCCUUAAAAAAGCCAGAUAUCUGAUCUCCCAAACAGCAUCGACAUAUAUCCAAGGGACCAGUCCUUAGCUUAACAAGCACUAAAAUCUGGCUCU
rnacentral:lncRNA from 10 species